rnacentral:misc_RNA from 1 species
AUUGUGUUGCCCCCCAUACAUGUAUUCGGGGCGAAGCUUGGCCUCCCGUGAGCCCAAACUCGCGGAUGGCUUAAAAACGAGCCUCGAGACGGUUAGACGUCGCGACAAGUGGUGGUUACGAGGCCUUGUGCCYUCGAGCUUUGCGUGUCGCUGCCGUCGUCUGUCUCUCUCGAAAUUAAAAACCCGAACGGAGCAUCCUCGAUGUUUCCAGCAUUGCGACCCCAGGUCAGGCGGGACUACCCGCUGAGUUUAAGCAUAUCAAUAA